rnacentral:rRNA from 1 species
GAUGAACGCUGGCGGCGUGCCUAAUACAUGCAAGUCGAGCGAACAGAUGAGGAGCUUGCUCCUCUGACGUUAGCGGCGGACGGGUGAGUAACACGUGGAUAACCUACCUAUAAGACUGGGAUAACUUCGGGAAACCGGAGCUAAUACCGGAUAAUAUAUUGAACCGCAUGGUUCAAUAGUGAAAGACGGUUUUGCUGUCACUUAUAGAUGGAUCCGCGCCGCAUUAGCUAGUUGGUAAGGUAACGGCUUACCAAGGCAACGAUGCGUAGCCGACCUGGGAGGGUGAUAGGCCACACGGGAACUGAGCCACGGUCCAGACUCCUACGGGAGGCAGCAGUAGGGAAUCUUCCGCAAUGGGCGAAAGCCUGACGGAGCAACGCCGCGUGAGUGAUGAAGGUCUUCGGAUCGUAAAACUCUGUUAUUAGGGAAGAACAAAUGUGUAAGUAACUAUGCACGUCUUGACGGUACCUAAUCAGAAAGCCACGGCUAACUACGUG